rfam:Salmo salar isolate Sally breed double haploid chromosome ssa06, whole genome shotgun sequence.
CCUAAUUACUCCUGUAAGUCGCUUUGGAUAAGAGCGUCUACUAAAUGACUAAGA